rnacentral:rRNA from 1 species
UAUGUAGGAGAUGAUGAAGACUGUGAUGACCUGAUAGAUGCAUUUAAAGUAGAUACCAUUAUUCCUGACCCAUAUGAUGAUUUCUACAAGAAUAUACCAGCAAGUACUCACACGCUGGCACCUAAACCUGAUUGCAAGCAUUAUGGUGCAAAGAGGUUCCAGUAUGAGUCAAAUGGAUUUUGUUGCCGGUCUGGAAAAGUUAAGUUAGCACACUUAGAACCACCCUUGGAACUUAAAAUGUUAUACACAAGUUCAGAUCCCGAUGCCGUGCAUUUUAGGGAUAACAUUCGAUACUUCAAUGGACACUUUUCAUUCAACACCCUUGGAGUCAGCCUGGACAACAGAUACACAAACAUGAAGUCAGGAGUCUAUACGUUUCGAGAUCACGGUCAAUUUUAC